GAGUGUGUCUGCCUCCUGAACAAUGUUAGGAAGGCUAUUCCAGAGUUUAGGUGCUAAAUAGGAAAAGGUAUUAUCACAUUACCAGAGUUUUGAGAACACAGUGGAUGCGGUGGACUAUAAUGCAUUAAGAGCUUGUUCAAAUACUGUGGUGUUAAACCAAUCGGGGCUUUAUAAGUAACAAGCAAGAUUUUAGAAUUUAUACGAUGUUAAAUAGGGAGCCGGUGCAGUGUUGAGUAUGACAGGAAUCACAAAAAUGAUCUGAAGCAGAAGAACUCUACACUCUCAGAAAUAAAGGUACGGUGAGGGUACAAUUAUAGCUGCUUAAUUUUGAACCAGCUGGAAUUUGUUUAUUAAGCAUGCAGAACAACCACCCAAUAAAACAUUACAGUAAUCUAACCUUGAGACCAUGAAUGCAUGAAUUAACGUUUCUGCAUUUGACAUUGGGAGCGUAGUUACUAAUUUAGAUAUAUUCUUGAGAUAGAAAUAUGCAGUUUUACAAGUUUUGAUGUCACAUGCAUCCACUCAUAUGCAGACACAUAGCUGACUCUACUUCUGUGCUAUCUGUUAGUGAGUAGAUGCAGCAGAGCUGGAGAGUGUUCGGCUGAGAUAGGAGUCUGUUUCCUGAGCUAUUAGAGACUGACUUCAGACCAUCUGCCUGGAGCGAGAUUGAGACACAGUUCAAACUGAAGCACAACUCUACUUUGUCACAUACUUGACUACCAAUAGUGUAAUGGUGGCAAAGACAGACGGAUAAGAAGAGGGAAGAGUCAUCUGCCUCCCAUGGUCUGCCAACACACAGACCACCAGGGGAAGUGAGGGAGCAAAAAAGAAAGGAAGAGAAAGAUAACUGGGGAGAUUGGACAGUCGGGAGCUUUUGAAGAAAAGACCAGUUUCUACCCCAAGAACAGCGAUAACUGAUGUGGGUACCCACUGGGGGACUGGACGGAGGAGUAAAUAUGAAUUAUGAAAGAAGAUAACGUGUGGACAGUGUGGACUGUUGUCCUUUCACCUGGAGCCAAGACUCAUGAACUGCACGGUUGAGAGUGUUGGGAAAUCUGCAUCCUGUUUUACGGUCGGCAAACUUCUGUUGACUGAAUACAGCAGUUAAGAAUCUGAGGCUUUAUUGCAAAUAAAGGGUGUUUCUGACAAUAUUUUGACGGCACGUGCACCGGCGGGGUGAACAUAUUGAGUUCAAAACAGAAAUGAGAGAGCAUUGGAGGAAAAAAUCAAUAGAUGGGUGAAUGAAUAGGUGAAGUGAGUCAGUAUACAGCUAUUCACUGUCUCGGUGCCCCUUUUGUCCUUUCUGUGCUAUUUGGUUAAAAUCUCUUUUAUCUCUGCUGGUGCCAGUCUCUGAUGCAUAAACGCUCCAGACUGACUCCUUUUGCUUUGAUAGAGGGACACAAAAACCGCAUUAGCGUUUCAGCAUCAGUAAGAAUAUCGCAUAUCCGGCUUGUCAUUCAUUUGAUUUUACACUUCUUAAUUUCUCUUACAUGGUACAUUUCCUCCUUGACCUGUACUGAAGUCAUCCAUCAUAAUGUUCUUAUAUAAGAAUAUAUUGUAUCCUGUUGAUUGAAAUAUUCUGGUCAAGGUUUUUUUUUUUUUUUAUUUUUUUUUUUUUAUCAAAGUAUGUGGGUUAUUUUAGUUUUCAAAUUAAUUAAAAUAUAUGAUAAUGUGUAUCAUAUAAUGCAUAUCCUUCUUACAAGUGGCAAAACAAGCUCAAUUUAAGACAUGCUGUUGGUCCUGCUGGAAAGCACAGGCAUUGCAAGGCCAAGGUUUCGGUUUGUCAUCACAUCUAUUUUCAGGUUACUUUAAACUGCUUUAGGUAUAUGAACAUGUCACCUGCCAUCACGUCAAACUGUGUGUUUUUCCUCCUGUGUGUUUAUUGUCAUUUCCUCUCCACACACUCGUGUCUUCAAACACAAGUGUGUGUGUGUGUGUAUUUUGUUAGAUGUGUUAACAGCAGCACUGGAACCAGAUACUUUAUGAUACAACUUUUCAUCUCUUUUGCGCACUCACACAGUCUGUCGUUGUCUCACUCGGCAGGGUGGGCUUUAAUCUAUUUUCACCCCUGGCUUCUUAAGAAAGUAGAUCUACCAAGUCAACUUCCUACUGGGAGAGUCACUCCUGACUAAACUUUGUGUGUGUGAGCGUGCCCUGUACGGGAAUAGUGAGUUUCUUAAAAACUUCCCCAUCUCUCAUUUAAGUUUAAUUUAAACCUGUAUGAAUUAAUUUCUUCUGCAGAGCACGAAAGAUGAUAUGUUUAAUAUCUUUGUAUUUAAAAAAAAUAACAGUAAAAAUAAAACACAACAAAAUUUCUCCAAUUAUCUUCUUUUAUGUUCCACAGAAGAAAGACAGAAAGUCUUACAGGUUUGGAACGACGUGAGGACAUAAGUUGAAUAUUUUCAUUUUUCGGUGACUUUCCCUUUAAAGAGGAUAAACUACUCCAGCUAAUAUAUAUAGAAAACACCAAACUGAUCUUUUAGUAUAUUACUAAUAAUAACAUGUGAAACUCACUACAUGUUACUCAUGCUGUAACCACUCUGUGAACAGAACAAAUGGAGGCAAAUCAUGUCUGCCCACCUUCUCAUUCCUUCAAACCCAAAUGAGAGAGAGGAAGUAGGGUAUAAAACUCCCUCUGUUCUGCAUUAAACGAGUCUCUUGGAGACUCUCAUCCUGUUUCCAUCCUGCCGCUCCUAAAACUCAUUACCCCCACCCCCAUUCCUCUUUCUUUAUUCCCCUCUUCCCUUGCUCUUCCCACUCACUCUUCUAUUCUCUUAUUCUCUGUGCCCCAUCUGCCCUUCCUGUUACUAUGGUUAUCUGCAGAACUAAAUGGCAGGUGCUGGCAGAUCCACAUAACUUUGGGAUGGGCUGCAAUUGCCAGGCUGGAAUGGCACUUGCUAUGCUUUAGAUGUUUUUAGAUAUAAUUGUACGCACGCCCUUUUCAAAUAUUCUCAUGUUGAUGCCUUAUUUGUUGUAUGUGUGUUGACCAUUGCAAUACUUCCAAAUAGAGAGCAAGACCUUGGGCAUUUAUUGGAUAAACCAAAGAAGUCAUGUUUCUUUGGAGGAAAUUUUGGCUUAUAAAUAUUUUAUGAUGGUCAGUUAUAUCCGCGGAUCCCAUGUUCCAACAUUGUCUGUCAAAAAAACUCUGGUAGUACACCCCAAAUAUAGCUCACUCUACAAUGAAUCUGUCAUGGGGAACAUGUUGUAGAUUACCAGACAGGCUGUCAGUUUUAUCUUUUUCCACAUAAAAGUAGUUUAUUCAACGCUUCUCCUCUGUUGAUUUCGAGGACACGUGUAACUGGCCGAUCUGAGGACACAGUGUAAAUGAAGGGUGCUUUUCACACUAUCAAUCAAAUUGAUGAAUGGUGUCUCUAUCCAUUUUUCUCAGAACAUUCAGACGGGGACUCCUCGGCGAUGAAUAUCACUCAUGGAUUUUUUAGCAUUUGCGUUCCUCAGAGAAAGGCUGUUGUGUGUGUACGGGUGCAUGUGCAUGACUGCGUGUCGUGUAUGUGUGUGUUUUGGUCAGGGAACAAAUGAAGAAGAAGACAGGCGCCACUGUUUAUUGUGUUUGUGCAUGCAUGUGGGCCGGUGUGUUUGAGGAGUGUCUGCUCUACACGAAACUGAGGGCCUCGGAGACACACAUGGAGACUGAGUGCUGAGCAGUGUGUACCAUCUAAACAAAGAACAGCUCUGUUUGCUGAAAACACUAAAUGCAUAUGUAUCUUUGCUGCUUGGGUUGCUGUCAGGAUGACGUUCUCGAUAUAAUAUGCUGUCUGCAUUUCCUGUUACACUUGAUGCAGGGUACAUUUCCCCGGGCCUGCAUUUAAUGUUAAAAAAUCCAAACGACUAUGCAAAUACAACCUGUCUAAAUGUCUUAAGAUGUGUAAAUGGUCUCAGGAAUUAAGAUUCAAACGCGCAAUUGCUACAUGCUCUCAAUUCCUGUUGAAGGAAAAGCCUUUUCUGUAAAUAUCUGGAGGUCUUAACUGACAUCAGAAAUGUCAUGUCUGCAGCAUUUUAUUUGCUCUGUAAAUAUAGCGUUAGGGGUUUUCUGACAUGGCCUGAAGUCUUCCAGUCAGUAGUGUUUGUUGUGCCAGACUCUUGGCUGAACUUCUCUCCUUCUGUCAGCACUCUGUUUUAAUUAUCGUCCUAAUUUACCCCCCUUAUUUUUCUAGGGUUGCUCCACUUCAGUCACUUUCCCAGGUGGAGCGGCAUCCGGAAUGCUAUCUGUUCUGGCACCAAACUACCCUGCUGUCUUUCCAGAACUUUCUCCUGUGUCCUCUCCUUCUUUCUCCUGUGUGUAUGUAAACAGCAGGAUGCGAUUCUUUUUUUUUCUGUGAAUCGGAGUCUGAUCAUAAUCAACACCUGAAUAAGAAAUAUCAAUAGUGUAUGUGUGUAUUCCACUAUAUGUGCUUUUAAAGCCUAGACAUACACACACUUGUGUAAAGGGUGUUUCCUCAAUUUUCAAAAAAACUUACAAAUGAGGAGAUAUGGUACAAUAUAUGUGAAUAUGAAUAUGAACGUCACACUAAAACAGUACAGUCCUAGCUUGAAGAAUAUAACAUAACAUUUAUAACAAAAAUACAGCAUUUUUAAUAGUCUGAUAAUAAUUUCAACAAUUCUGUGAAUAUGACUUAAUUUAUAUAUAUGAAUAUGAAUAAAUUAAAAAAAUGACUGUUCCUCACACUUGUUAUUUACACCACAACCAACAUUUCUACAGUAACACAGUUUUUUUUAAGAUAUUGUACUUUGUUUGCUAAAUAGAAAGUGUCUGUGAAAUGCAUGUUACAUGUGAUGAAAAUAUAGAAAGCUACAAAAUUUAUUUAAUUCGUAUUCAAUUCAUAAAAUAUUAGCUAUAAAAAUUAGCCUUAGAAAUACCUUUAGACAAUUAGAGAAGUAUUUUUAUUAUUAAUAAUAAUAAUAAUAAUAAUAAUAGUACCUUUUAUUUAUUUUUGCCUUUCAAGACACUGAAGGACACCGUACAAUAAAACAAAACAUAAAAUGAAAAAAACACAUUAAACAAGCAAAUCAUUAAAUUGAUUAAUCCUGAAAAAAGUAUCACAGUUUUCACCAACAACAAAAAAUAAGCAGCUUGACUGUUUUGAGCGUUGAUAAUAAUACAAAAACUUUCUGAUUUCUGAUGAUUUCUUAUAAUGUUAAAAUAACAUAAAAACAUGCUAGUUACUGUGAUGGAAACUACAGUUUUUUUUUUUUUUUUUGCUUCAAUAGGAAAUAUGCCAGCAUAGGAAAUACAACUGCACUCGUCAGGCUCUUUAAUGUGUCUUUUAAGGAUGCAGGCAAUUCAAGAGCAUGAUGAAUCAUGAGUGUGGUAAAUAAGUAGAGCGAGAAGAGUAGCUCUUCAUUAAUAACAGUAAGCCGUGCUGGUGUGGCUGUUUAUGCUGGGGGACUAGCAACAGUGCAGAGUGCAACUGUAAUCUGCCCCUCUCUGUAAACAGUCUGUCACAGUAAUGGCUCUGAAAACAAACCAGCAGCUCAAUUCUUGGGCCCCACCAAACAACUUUAACACACAUACACCCUCUGGAAGCUCUUUUACCAGGGGCCUACUUUCAAGUGAGGUGGAGGACAAUUUCCUGUAUCCCGUCCCUAGUCUCUGAGGAGUGUGUGUGUGUGUGUGUGUGUGUGUGUGUAUGUAUUUGUGUAAGAAUGAAUGUUUGUGUGUGCCUUGGGAGCAGCAGCGGACACCAGAGAGACAUAGAUUCGGGAUCUCCGUGGCGAUAAGGAAGUCAGCAGGAAGGAGACAUCCCAGGCCCCUUCUAGCACCCAGACUGACAGACUCCCCCCAAACUCACACACGCACACAUGCUUGCACAAAUUGAUGUUCGACAAACACCCCGCAUAAAUACACACGUACGCAUUCCAUCUCUAUGCUUCUUUAAAUGACAGAGGCACUAUUCAUGUUUCAUGAAAAAGAGGAGAAAAAUAACAUCAGCUAUAUCCGAUGGCUUGAUAAGUGAGAUGAAGAGAGGCCGGGGCUUCACUGUUUAAUUCCAGACACAGCUGUGCAUCGGCUACUACUGCAUGCAAGAUGAACACUAAUUGCUAUUCUUGUAUGUAUGGCUUGACCAAUGUUUAUAAUCUUUGUUUAAAGUUGUACGUUGUCUUCAUAGUUUUAAACUGCAGGCAUCUUGAUGUUAGGCAGAGAAUGUUUAAAAAUCUAUUUCAUUAACAUCUGCCACUGUUACUCAAUGUGUAUUGUGUUACAGAUAGUGGUUGAUGUGAUUUAGUUUAAACACAAAUGAAAAUUAGUCACCGUCAUGUUGAUCCAAAUCUGGGUGACUUUCUUUAUUCUCUGGAACACAAAGCAAGAUGCUUUUUUCCAUAUGUGUAAGACAGUGGGGUCUAGUUUCCACAGUAUAGACACAACGGUUGAACCAUUCUUUAAAUUAUCUUCUCUUGUGUUCCACAUACUGGUUUGAAAUGACAUGAGGAUGAGUAAAUUAUGUUCUUUUUGAGCAAAGCAGAGAAGUCAAUCCGCGUUCAUUGGAAAAACAUGCCUGUGGCAACAUUACAUGAAACUUUCAAGGCUUAGUGUCCAGUGAAUGGCUCUAAAAGUAGGUAUAGUUUUAUCCAAAACAUGUGAAUGUAAACCUGGCAACAUUUGAUUACAUUGGUUUCGAGGUCAUAGCAUUUUAAAAGAAACUGCAUGAGAAUAAUAAUUUAUAAAUCAAUAAUCUGCUCCGUAAUAUUAAAUUGUGCGAAAAGGAAUACAACUUGUUGGUGUUUCAUCAGAUCAUUUCAGUUUGAAACUGCAGUGAGUUUUUGAAGUUUUGUUUUUGAAGUUUCAGUGAGCUUAUGUUAGAAAGUUACCAAAACUAGCCUUUCAUUAAUGAAUGUUCAGUUCUAAUCUGCAUUUAAUGUUUGAUAUUUGCUUGUACUUUGGUCACUUCUGGGAGAUUAUCCCACAGACGCUAUUUUAAACAAUGCGUGUAAAGCUGUCGCCACAUAUGUAAACAUAUCCAUCUUCUUUCUCGUGCUUCUGUGAAAAAACAGAAGCCCCUCGGACAAUAGACGAUAAACAGAGGCUGUGCUUGUGUGUGCUUGCACUGUGGCUUUUCGCAUUAGUCUUCCUCACAUAUUUUUGUGUUUGUGUGUGCGAGCGUGCACGCGUUCAUUUAUCAUUCGGUCAUUAGCCAUUAGUGGCAGUGUUGUGUGUCAGCAUGAGCGAACCGACCUGGAGAGAUUAGACAGGUUCGAGUGAGAUAAACAGCUCUACCAUAUUCUCCCUCAAACUCAAACGCGGUCAUAAGCAAAUAUUGCGGGGGAAAUGAGAGGUCAAAACAUUCACGGGAAACUAGAACGAUUGAAGUAUUUCUCUGUAGUCAUAUUAGGGGACAGAAAAUAGCCCUUAAUAUCAUGUGAAGAAUCACCCCAUGGCUAUUCAGACCAGCAUGUUCAGUUCUCACUGAGCCUAACAUUCGGCUGAGUGGAGGAUAUUUGGUUAAUAAGAGGCAGACACAGAAGCAGAGGAGUCAUAGUAGGAGACAGAUAGACAUGAUGGGAGAGAAUAGACUAUAUGUUGAGGCCUGUGGGUGGGCUGCACGGAUUAGCCCAAAAGACACAGAGACACAAUGGCUGCGUACUGACUGGUCUCUAUGAACACAUGCUGUCUGACAGGCAUGAAAAAGCCACCACCUUACUGAGAGGUCAAAGGUCAUUAAGCUUCAGGAUGCUUAGUUAACGAUGCAGACCUAAUACUAUAAUACUUUAGCUUUUCCUAUCACCUAACUUUCUUCAGAAUGUCUUACUUUUAUAAGUAAAUAGAUAAAUAAUGCCCUUCUGUUAAAAUAUCUGGGGUAAGAUUAUUUUUAAAGUUAAUACUUUUAUUCAGAAAAGACAUAAAAUUGAUAUAAGUGAGUUAAUUUUUACAAAAGAUGUAUAUGUAAAAUGAAUGCAGUUUCUCUGAGCUAUAUAUUUAUUAGCGAAUCCUGAAAAAAUAAACGUGGUUUUCACAAAAAUAUGAACAUUAAUAUUAAGCAGGGUUUUCAACUGUUUAUUUUGCUAUCUCAGGAAUAAAUUACAUUUU